UACGGGGGGUGCGAGCGUUGUCCGGAAUCACUGGGCGUAAAGGGCGCGUAGGUGGUUUGAUAAGGGUGUGGUGAAAGUCCGGAGCUCAACUCCGGAUCUGCCGUGCCGACUGUCAAACUCGAGGGCUGUAGAGGCAGACGGAAUUCCGGGUGUAGCGGUGGAAUGCGUAGAGAUCCGGAGGAAGACCGGUGGCGAAGGCGGUCUGCUGGGCAGUUUCUGACACUGAGGCGCGACAGCGUGGGGAGCAACAGGAGU
rnacentral:rRNA from 1 species